UGCUGGUUUUUUUGCUGGAGAAAAGCUUCCUCAGGCCACCCAUUGUUUGUUGAGGUAUGAUCCUAAACUCAUGCUUUUAAGGUUGUUAAUCUUAAUAUGCCAUGCUUCUACUGUAAAAUAUUCCACAGUCAUGCCAAUAGUUGUAUUUGAUGUGUUCAUUCUCACCUAUGCAUGUCCAUUUCUAUUCCUCACUACUCUACCUUCAUUACUUCAUACCCGUUUUCUCACCACCCCACCCAUCCUAACCAUCCAAGCAUAUGGUUUCUUUAAAUAUCCACAUACCCAUCACCACCAUUUCUCUCUCUAAACCUUCACAUGCCCCCACCACAUUUUCUCUCUCUACCUCCUACCACCAUGGUUCAAAGUCCCGGUAUCGGUCACUGACUCGGAGGGUUUGAGGCGUAUCGGUCUCGGUGUAUCGGCCUGGUAUCGGGUGAUACGUAAAAUAAGCUAAUUAGAAAAUUAAAAAAAAAAUAAAAAUAUUAUGUAAAUCAUCAGAAAAAUAUAUACAAUUAAAUAAGCUAAAAAAAUUAAAAAAAUAAAAUUGUCUCACAUUUAACAUUAUUUAAAUAGUUAUAAAAGUAUCUACUCAAAGUUAUUUAUGAUAAUGCUAAUAAAAAGAAAGUUAUUUUAUUUCAAAUAUAAUAACAUUUUUACUAACAACACAUACAAUACAACAAUCAAUUCCAUGUUGAAUGACGAGGGGGUUCAAAAUCAUCAUCAUCAUCAGUCCUACGACGAGCAUACAAAUUGGGGUGGCAAUUCCCGUAGUGAGGAUAUGAUUGAAAGAGUGGUUCAUAACUCAAAUAUGGUGGGUGAGAUGAUUGGCUUGAUGAUCCAUAAUUAGGAAAAUAUGGUUUCGAAGGCUGUUCGGGAUCAACACCAACUUGAUAGUAUCCAAAACCUCGAUAAGCAAUGCUACUGCUACUAGAAGAUUGAUCAUAUCCAUAUGAGUCACUAGCUCGUGUUCCAGUAUUUGAAUAUCCCUCUGGAUGCAUCAUUGGAAAUUUAUUAAAAUCAUUUCUACUAAAAGUACUGGAAGAGCUAUUACGGUCUCUAAAGUUGUGAUAUGAUCUAUCAUCUACCCCUCUGAAAUAUGGCCUUGAUCCUAUACCCAAAUUUUGUAAGUGCUCAUCAAUACGGUGAUGAUUUGAUCUAUGAUAAUCAUGCCCACUAGAAUAAUCAUCAUCGCUGGGAAAUGUAGUUAGUCUUUCCAAAUGCUUUCGUUGUUCCCAUAUCCAUGGUCGAUAUCCAUGAUCUGUAUCUUGUGUGGCAUAGUAAUUUUCACUUCCUUGUGCCCAUGACAGGCCAGGAUCUACUUGACUAACAUAACCGCCCGCAGUGCUACCAUCUCCCCCAAUACCCUCACUACUGCCACCAACUCCUCUAUUGCCCCCACUAGUGCCACCACCCCGCCUACUGCCCCUAUUGUCACCAUCAUCACUACUAGAACUUGAAGAAAUUGUUCUAGAAGCCUUACCUUUAUGACGGGAAUCAACAUCUCUUUCUCUACCUUCUUCAUUAGUGGGAAGACCUUUAUCCAACCAAUCCAAAUUAUCAAAUGAUAAAAUAGGCUCCUCUCUUUCUCCUAUCCACUCAUCUAAUAUAUCAUCAUCAUUAAAGAUAUGAUUCAGAUCAAUUGGAUUGUAUAAAUCUUCAUUGCUUCGCUCUUGCAUCAAAUUCUUAACUCGAAGUCGCAUAUUGUAGUGCACAUAAACUAACUUAUGCAACUUUUUCAUUGCCAAACGGUUGCGCAACUUUGUGUGAAUCAAUGACCAUGUGCUCCAAUUUCUUUCACAACCUAAUGAAGAACAAGUUUGGCUUAAAAUUUUAACAGCAAUCUUUUGUAGAUGUGAACCUUCGUCGCCAUAGUUGUUCUACCAUUCAGCUAUAAUAAAGAAAAUGCAUACUUAUUAAUCACUAUGAUAUAUUUAACAAAAAAUGAUGAUAACUUCUUAUUUGUAAUAGACAUAAAUGUAUUGAGUACCUGGAAGAGAUUGAUUUAUUGCUUUCUUUGUGAGUACACUUCCAAAUUCUCCUUGGCCGUCAACAAAUAAUUUCACCUACAUCAUUAACAAUUUUUUUUUUUUGUUAAUGCACAUUACAUAUACAAAAUGCAUUAUAUAAAGGUCACAAACUAUUAUUAUACCUCGUUAAUAGCUUUUUCUUGUCUAUCCAAAUCUGGCUCUAAUCUCUUGAUAACCUCCUUUAAUCCAACUUUAAUUUCCGGAUGGUUGGAGAAAUGCUUUGAAUAUUGGAACAUUGGAUUUAAAAAAUAUGCUGCCAUAAGUUAAAUAAUGAUCAGUUUAUAAUAAUUUGUACUUAAAAAAAUUAAUAAAAAAUAUAUAAAGAAUUUUUUUAUUACCUGCAGCAUGCAAAUGUUUGUGCAAUUGACCUUCCCACCUUCUAUCAAUGACUUCCCAAUACUUUUCCCAUUGCUUGACCGAUGCCUUGAUAGCCAAUUUAGCUCUAUCCAUUGCUUCAUAAAUGAUUGAUAGUGUGGGCUUUUUAUCUUGAUCAACCAAUUUCAAUACUUUGACGAGAGGUUCCAUGAUGGUUUGAACUUCUCCGGCCUUCUUCCAAAAUCGAUCAGUUAAGAUAAGGUUGGAUACCUUAUCUCUUACACUUUUUCUGCUCCUAUCUUUAUUGAAUUCACGCUACUCAUUUGUUGUGCACAUUCUCUUCAAAUCAGCCUCAUAACGUAUAAGACUCUCAAGUGAAAUGAAUUCAGUGGCAAAACGAGUUAUUCCUGGCCUUAACAGAUCUCUAUCCUUGGUGAACACUUUCAUCAAAUUCACCACUUCCAAGCUAUUAUAAAUAAAUCCUGUGAUCAUCUUAGCUUGAUCUAAUGUCUCCUUAAUCUGCUUCAUGCUUCCAAUAUCUUCAAGCAUUAAAUCAAUACAGUGGGCUGCACAAGGAGACCAAAACAAAUGAUUUCGCUUCUCCAUCAACAACAUACCGGCUGCUUUAAAACUUGCCUCAUUAUCAGUGACUACUUGAACAACAUUUUCCUCCUCAACCUCCUCUACAACUUUAUCCAUAAGGGAAAAGAUGUAGUCUGCUGUCUUAGGUAUGUUGGUAGUGUCAACUGAAGAAUAGUAUAUCAUACUUCUAUCACAAUAAAUCAUGAAAUUGAUGAUAGGCUUUCUAGUCUUAGAACUCCAACCAUCACACAUGAUUGUGCACUCAUAUAUAGGUCAUUUAGCCUUCAAUGUUGUUAUGUACCUCAAGUUCUUGGACCUCCUCUUCCAAAUAUGUAUUUCCAAUUUGGUAUCCCGUGGGACCCUUGAUGCCUGGACCUGCUUCUGCUAUGGUAUCAAUCAUUGAUUGAUAGUAAGACCCAUUGUCAGCUGCAUUAAAGGGUAUUGCAUUAAAGAGAAAGAAUUUAGAAAUAGCUUUACCCACUUUCUUCACGCCUUCAGUAGAAAACAAGUUUUUUAUUGAUUUCUGCUUUGAUGGGAACAUGUAGGGAUCAAUUCCUUUUGGAGGUAUGCUAGCUCCUUUUCUUACACUGAAGCUACGUGUCAGUCCGCGCUUAAUCCUAGCAUUAAAAGGUUGUGAGGAACUACCACCCUACUGAUGCUCUUGUCCACCUUCUUCAAAAAUUCGACGACUUUCUUUCAUUGUUUGUUUCAUUUGUCUUCUUUCAAAAUCAGCCAUAGCAACUUCCUCAAUUUCAUUACCAGAAUCACCCUCAUCAAUUUCAUAGAAAUUAUCUCUAUUUAAGGAAUUCAAAAGUCGUUCUUUUUUUUUUCUUUAACUGUGCUUUUUCUUUUGAAGUAUUAGACAUAUGUUGUCUAACACUAUGUGACACUUCUAUCGGUACACGUGGACAUCCUUCCACUUGUCCAGAUAUAUGUGCGAUGUGUUGCUUUAAUCUUGUUAUACCGCCAUGUAUAACUUUCCCACAAUAUUUACACUUUGUGGUUCUUCUACUACCACCAACAGGUUCUGCGUGCUCCCAACCAAUAUCAUGUUUUGAAGCCAUUUUGAAAUUUUAACCUAACCAUGUAUAAAAGGAAAACAAUUUACUUUUCAAAUUGAAUAUAUAUAAACACAUUUAUAUAAGAAUUAUAAUAUUCAAUUUUCCACUCACUUAUAUGUUUCAUAUUGUUGCCAUAUAAAAAUAAAUUGUACUAAAAAAGCAAUAAACACGAUCUCACCUAAGUUCAUCAUCUUUUGUUUUCCACUUAUUUAUAUGUUUUUUAAAUUAAAAUCAAUGUAAUUGACAUGUAAAUGCAUACCCUUCAUUCUGUAUUAUUAAAUCAUUUAUGAUUAUUUGAAGAAAAAAAUUUCAAUAAUGAUUAAUUUUGUGUAGUAAUUUAAUUUUGCAAUAUAGUAUUAAUGUAAUUGAGUAAUAGGGAAAUUUUUUGUCACUAAUAUAAUCUAAAUUUAUUUAUACUAAUAGAAAAUUGAGUGAUAUUUUUAAAGUAUUCAAGACAAUUUCUUGUACAUUAUAUUUUUAAAAAUUUUAAAAUUCAUGAAACAAUUUAAAAUUAUUAAUUAUGUCUUAUUUAGUUUAUAAGACAUAGGAAUAAUAUUUGAAAAGAAAUAAUAUAUUAUAUAUAGCAACAAUAUUAAACCAUAUAUAGAGAGUAUAUAUAUUAAUUUGAAAAGGAAUAACAUAUUAUAUAUAUGAUAUUAUAAUAAAAUCAUAGGUUUAUUUUAUUUUAUUUUUAUAAAAAAAAACUAUUUUAGCAUAUGUUAGAAACAUAAAAAUAUUAACAUCUUUAUCAUUUUUUGGGUUAAAAAUUAAUAAUAAAUAUUUAAACUAAUAAUUUUUCAUAAUAUUUUAUUUAAAUUGAAUAAUUAAUAAAGUUUAACUUUUUAAAAAUGAGUCAAAAUUUUCAUUCCAUGUACUCAUUUAGAAUUGAAUUAUCAACAUAAUAUUAUAAAAAAAAAUUAUUUUAUAUGUAAUUAAUUAGAUUGGUUUUUAAAUUUCAAAAUUAUUUUUAAAAAUUAAAAAAUUCAUGAAAUAAUUUAAAAUUAUUAAUUAUGUCUUAUUUAGUAUUUGAAAAGAAAUAAUAGAUUAUAUAUAGCAAACAUAUUAAACCAUAUAUAAAGAUUAUAUAUAUUAAUUUGAAAAGGAAUAACAUAUUAUAUAUAUGAUAUUAAAUAAAAUUAUAGGUUAAUUUUAUUUUAUUUUUAUAAAAAAAAAUACUAUUUAGCAUAUGUUAGAAACAUAAAAAUAUUAACAUCUUUAUCAUUUUUUGGGUUAAAAAUUAAUAAUAAAUAUUUAAACUAAUAAUUUUUCAUAAUAUUUUAUUUAAAUUGAAUAAUUAAUAAAGUUUAACUUUUUAAAAAUGAGUCAAAAUUUUCAUUCCAUGUACUCAUUUAGAAUUGAAUUAUCAACAUAAUAUUAUAAAAAAAAAUUAUUUUAUAUGUAAUUAAUUAGAUUGGUUUUUAAAUUUCAAAAUUAUUUUUAAAAAUUAAAAAAUUCAUGAAAUAAUUUAAAAUUAUUAAUUAUAUCUUAUUUAGUUUAUAAGAUAUAUGGCAACAAUAUUUGAAAAUAAAUAACAGAUCAUAUAUAGCAACAAUAUUCAACUAUAUAUAGAGAUUACAUAUAUUAAAUUGAAAAGGAAUAAUAUAUCAUUUAAAUUAGGAACACUUGACUUCCAUUAAGAUUUGCAGGACUAAAUCCUAUUAAAUCAAGUAAUAAAAUUCUAACCUAUUCUAUGAUUGAAUUAAAUUAUUAAAUAUAAGUCUAUAUGAAUUUGUUACCUAUCGGUCAAACGACUCAAACCUCCUGCCCAGGCUGCCCUAACCCCCUGCCCUCUGUUUCUUCUUCUUCCCCAGCAACACUGCGUUUUGCCUCUAUCUUCUUCUUCUUCCCCAAAACAGCAACAGCCCCUACACAGCAACACCAUGAAGGCCCUCUUCUUCUUUUUUCCCAACACAGCAACACCACGAAGAUGCUCUGAUGCACUAAUGCAGCCCUCUGUCUUCUUCCCCAAACCACGAAGACGCAGCCUCUCGUGGCACGAUCUGCUACCUUCCACCAAGCACCGCACCAAAGAUGAAGAUUAUAGACUCCGGCAAUGGUGGAUUUCUUCAACCGAGCCUCUUUUUAAAGGCUUUUGAAAGGGUCACAGACUCACAGGUUUGUCAAAUCUUCACGGUUUUUUUUUUUAAAUUUUCAUAGGUUUCAUAGGUUUUCUUUUGUAGAGAAAUCUCUGAUUUCUCUGAAAAAUCAAGAUUUGUUGUGGGGCUUUUUGCAGAGAAUCUAUUGAAUUUUUUCCCCGAGUUGAUCGAGUUAACUCGGAAUAUCGGUCGACUCAUCCGAGUCCAACCGAUUCAGGCCGAGUCUAGGUAUCUGGUAUCGGACUCGUCGCAGUCCACUUCGAGGCGGAUACGACUUGGCCGAGUCGUACCGGACUCGACCGAUUUUUUGAACGCUGCUUACCACUCAUCCCACUACCCAUAACCCUCAUCUUCAUUCCCAUGCAAAU
rnacentral:lncRNA from 1 species